CUCUCACAAGUACCGAAUAUGUGAAGGUCAACAGCACUGGACCGGAGGCAUCUGGAGAGAUACUGUCCCCCAGGCACAGCGCUUCUGAGAGGUAGGAAGCCAUGUCUGAAUGCCAACUCUCAUUUUUUACAUGUUCGGGUUCUGUAGCAUGUGUCGGUCUUGAACUCCCAGUCUUCCUGUGGUUGCAAAGAGUUAAAAGGUGAAUGAAAACCCCUUAGCAACUCUGACCCAGGAGAACACCCACCUGCACUGCCCUGCAGCCUGGAAGAACAACACUGAAUGCAGGACUUGAGAGAACCUAGAUCAGAAGGCUGCUUGGGUAGGGACUUAGAGUAAUACAGAACUUUCUGGAUGGCUCUGUAAAUCCUGACACGUACUAACUUUGGAUAGUUCAGCAUAUCUCUGCCCUGAAGCACAUGACCUGUCUGUCUGUCUGUCUGAUGUUGAAGUGCAGAC
rnacentral:lncRNA from 1 species